GGCGGGUCUCCUUACAUGAUAAUUUGGAACAGCGGGUCAGGGGCGGAAGCCAGCAGCCCACUCCGAAAAGUCAGUGCUAAGGGUCAGGCUCGCCACC
rnacentral:SRP_RNA from 1 species